AACUCCAUAGAUAUUUUCAAAUGCAGUGGGUGGUUGGUUUGAUAAUUCAAAGAAACUUGAGGGGCAUUGUUAAAUCCACUUCUUCCCCUCAAUUGAAGGAGGAGGAGGAUAGAGGUAGCUAGAUAAUUAAUUCCCUCCCUCCCUCUCGCUCUCUCUGUAGCACUACAUCUUUUCAAGUUGAGAGAGAGAGAUGCUAGAGAUCGCCAUAGGGCAGCGAUCAACGACUAUAUGUAGCAGAGAUUGGCGAUCAUGGGCUAAGUUGGAGUUUUGAUAAUGGUGCCUAGGGAUGGUGGCUAGUAGCUAUCAAAGGGGGAAUGAGAGGAGGAGAGAGGGUUUGAGUUGUAUCUUUCACGUGAAAGAAUGAUUCAUCUUCUUUUAUGACAUAAGUUAUUGGAUUGCGUAAUAACUGCUUCGAGAUCAAUACAGACAGAUGGAUGAAAGAAGUUGGAGUGCUUUAAGAUCUCUGACAUAUAUGAUCCAAUAGUUGAUAUCACAGAAGAAGAUUAAUCAUUCUGUCAUGUGAAAGAUACAAUUUGAACUUGAGGAGAGAGGAUGGGAAUGUAGUAGGUGUGGUCAGUGGACUAGAAGGCAGUGGAGGCAUCACAGAGGUUGCCAGAAGUGGCGGAGUAGGGAGAUUUGGUGGUAGCGAUGGAGUAACUCAUGGAUUCGUUGGUGGAUAUCCAACUACGUCGGGGCAGUAUGCCUCAAAGGGUGAUAGGUAGAGGUGGUGCC
rnacentral:lncRNA from 1 species